GAGAGUGAUGCAGUUCCCCGAAGAUUUGAGCAAUUGUAAACUUCAUCAUGUCAUCAACCAAUUUUUUCUUAUUCAAGGAGAUUUCCUAGAGGCUGGACUGGAAAAUGUCUCCUGGGAAAAUACCUCAUUUUGCCUGAAAGACUCCAAGCAGUGGUGACUUACCACCUCCUCAGGCCAUGCUAGAAAGAUGGCACCUCUCCCCACUAUGAGGCAGCCUUGGAGUGGUAUAAUUUCUUCCCAGGCUGGAUACAGCUUGGGCUGACACCACCAGGCUGUAUGCAAGCACAGAAAGAGGAAUUCAUUAUCCUACAGACAACUUUUCCUCCUCCUGGGAAAAUAAUGGUGGAUCAUUUAUAGCCCUAUAUGUAAAAGCUUUUUUUGUUUAAUAAGUGU